rnacentral:rRNA from 1 species
UGGGGAAUAUUGCACAAUGGGCGAAAGCCUGAUGCAGCGACGCCGCGUGAGGGAUGACGGCCUUCGGGUUGUAAACCUCUUUCAGCAGGGACGAAGCUUUAUUGUGACGGUACCUGCAGAAGAAGCACCGGCUAACUACGUGCCAGCAGCCGCGGUAAUACGUAGGGUGCGAGCGUUGUCCGGAAUUAUUGGGCGUAAAGAGCUUGUAGGCGGUUUGUCGCGUCUGCUGUGAAAGCCCGGGGCUUAACUCCGGGUCUGCAGUGGGUACGGGCAGACUAGAGUAUGGUAGGGGAGACUGGAAUUCCUGGUGUAGCGGUGGAAUGCGCAGAUAUCAGGAGGAACACCGAUGGCGAAGGCAGGUCUCUGGGCCAUAACUGACGCUGAGAAGCGAAAGCAUGGGUAGCGAACAGG